UCGAGAAUCUUCGGCAAUGGGCGAAAGCCUGACCGAGCGACACCGCGUGCGGGAUGAAGGCCUUCGGGUUGUAAACCGCUGUCGUAGGGGAGGAAGGGCCUGCGAAGAGCAGGACUUGACCGAUCCUAGGAGGAAGGGCCGGCUAAUCUCGUGCCAGCAGCCGCGGUAAUACGAGAGGCCCAAACGUUAUUCGGAUUUACUGGGCUUAAAGAGUUCGUAGGCGGUGCGGUAAGUGGGGUGUGAAAGCCCUCGGCUCAACCGAGGAAUUGCGCUCCAAACUACCACACUCGAGGGAGAUAGAGGUGAGCAGAACUGAUGGUGGAGCGGUGAAAUGCGUUGAUAUCAUCAGGAAUACCGGAGGCGAAGGCGGCUCACUGGGUCUCUUCUGACGCUGAGGAACGAAAGCUAGGGGAGCAAACGG
rnacentral:rRNA from 1 species